GCCGCUGGCUCCGCCCACCGCGUGGUCCAAGGACCACCACCCGCCACCGCCGCGCGAGCGUACUAUUGCGGCCGCCCUCUGCUGCGCCUGAAGAGAGAGGCGACUCUACAAGCCUCACAGCAUGCACUGUUACUAAAAAGACGAUGCGUCCUCCUGGACCUGAGAUCUGUGUGAUCGUGGGAAAGCGACGAAAAACGAACAAAGGAACAGUAAAUGGAGUAACUUGGCUAGAAUAUGGCAGUAACUACAAGGCAUGUUCUGCUCUGGCACGAAGACAACCCACCUGAGGCACCAGACACAUGAGUGAAGCCAUCUUGGACAUCCCAGUCACAGCCAAACUCACUCCUGAGUGCAUCUGCAUGAUGAACCCAGCAAUCCCCACCAUGGAGCAAAGGAUCCAUCCAGUCAACCCAAAGAAUCGUGAAAAAUAAUAAAUUGUUGUUUUAAAGUUCUUCAGUUUGGGAAUAGCUUGUUAUGCAACAAUACAUAAUUAAUACACUGGUCUCCCACUUUCAAGUUUGAUUAACUUUCAGCUAUUUUUCACAUAGCAGGCAGAGUGAUUCCAUUAAAACAUAUAUCAGAUAAUGUCACUGCACUAAGUAAACUCUACAAGGACUCUCAUCUCCCUCAGAGUAAAGGUCACAGUUGUUACAAGGCCCUACGUAAUGUGGCCCUCACCACCACUCCAUUACCUUUUUCUUAUCUACUAUUUGCUAACUUUGCUUUGUCCUCUUUUCUGUUCUGAAACAGGCUAGGCAUGGUCCUGCCUCAAGGCCUUUGCACCACCUACUCUGUCUGCUUGGAUUGUUCUUCCCACAGAUUUCUUGCUCCCUUCUUCCUUCAUGAAGAAAUGUCAUGAAAUGUCCUUCCUUCAUGAAAUGUCACCUUCUCAUUUGAGGCCUUCUGUAGUACCCCAAAGAAUGGUCCCCAAAGAUGUCCACAUCCUUAUGCCCAGAACCUGUGAAUGUGUUAUCUUAAUGGCAAAAGUGACUUUGCAAAUGUGAUUAUAUUUAAGGAUCUUAAGGAGGAGAUUAUCCUGGAUUAUCCAGGAGGGCCCAAUGUAAUCACAAGGGCCCUUAUAAGUGAAAGGGGGAGGCAACAGAGAGAAGGAGAUGUCAUAAUGAAAACAGAUCCAAGUGAUGAGAUUGCUGGCUGGGGUGGAGGUGGAGGGGGGUACAAUCCAAGGAAUGCAAGAAGCCUCUAAAAGCUAGGAAAUGUCAGGACACAAAUUCUCCCCUAGAACCUGAGGAAGAAACCCAGGUUUAUGGACACUGAUUUUAACCCAAUAAGUCCCUUUUCUGACUGCUGACCUCCAAAACUGUAAGAUAAUAAAUUUGUGUUAUUUUAAGCCAACUGAGUUUGAGAUAAUUUAGUUAUGGCAGCAAUAGGAAACUAGCACACCUUCCUAGCCAUCCUAUCUAAAAUGGCAACCCAUGUCCUUCCUGGCACUUCCUAUCUCCCUUCCAUGUUUUUUUUAAAUCAUAUAUACAAUAUAUUUUACUGUUUUACCUAUUGUCUUUUCCACCAGAAAGUAAACUCCACGUAAAUAAGGAUUGUCUGUUUUAUUCUUUGCAGUAUCUCCACUGCCUAGGAUAGCAUCUGCACAUACUGCACACUCAGUACACAUUUGUCGAAUGAGGUCAGGCGCGGUGGUUCACACCUGUAAUCCCAGCACUUUGGGAGGCCAAGGCGGGUGGAUCACCUUAGGUUAGGAGUUCGAGACCAGCCUGGCCAACAUGGUGAAACCAUGUCUCUACUAAAAAUACAAAAAGUAGUUGGGCAUGGUGGCAUGUGCCUGUAAUCCCAGCUACUUGGGAGGCUGUGGCAGGAGAGUCACUUGAAUCUGGGAGGUGGAGGUUGCAGUGAGCCAAGAUUGUGCCACUCCACUCCAGCCUGGGCAACAGAGUAAGACUCUGGCUCAAAAAAAAAAAAAAAGAAAGAAAGAAAAAAAUACAUAUUUGUUGAAUGAACAAGUGAAUGAACAAAUGUUAUGCAAAUAUAUUAUCCCUAUCUGUAGCUUGCCUUUUAAUUUUGUUAUAGUAACUUUGGUUGAAAGGAAGUUCUAAAAUCUUUAAUAUAAUCAAAUGUAUCAAUCUUUUCAACUUGUAUAUUUUAUGCCUUGUUUAAUCAACUCUGUCUUAUAUCAAAAUUAUAAAAGUAUUACCCUGUAUUUUCUUAUAAAAGUUUUGAAUCUUUUCUUUUUCCACUUAGAUCAUUAAUCAACUUGGAAUUGGUGUUACAUAGUGGUAAAUGAUUGUCCCAGGACCACAUAUUGAAUAUUUUAUCAUUUCUCCACUGAUUUGUAACAACACAGUGGUUAUAUAUCCUGUUUAUACAUGGGUCUGUCUCUAGGUUUCCGGUUCUGUUCCAGUGGUCUGUUUGCUUACCCUUCUACUAAUAGCACAUUGGCCUAAUUACUAUAACUUUAUAAUGUGGCUCAAUCUCUGGAAAACCACAUACCUCUCCCCUCCUCUUUCUACAAUAUUCUUAUAUUUUGCAACUGGCCUUUACUGUUUUGUAUUAUUUUUAACAAUACCUUAUAUACCCACAUAUAUUAGAUGCUCUUAGCAUCACUAUUUAUAGCAUCUAAAAAUUGGAAAUUAUUUAAAUGUCCACCAAUACAUUAGUUAAAUAAAUUAGGUUAUACUCACAUAGUGGAAUACGAUACUGGCUUUCAAAAGAAUGAGGUAAAUUUACAUAUCUACAUUAAAAGGUAUUCAAGAUAUCAGAAAAAAGGGCAAGUUGCAAAACAAUAUUUAGAGUAAGAACCUAUUCAUGAAUUUUUUUAAUGUAAUUUGUGUUACAUGUAGAAAAAAAUAUGGGCAAGAAUACAUCAAAAUGUUAACAGUGGUUAUAUCUGAGGAUCAGGAAUAGGAAGAACAUUCGCUUUCUAAGGGUUAUUAUGGCACAGACUAACUGGGAUCCAGGAAGCUACUAUGGUCAACUGGUAAGUGUGGGAGUUUAUUGGGAUUAGGUGAUGAACAGGGUUGUUGUUUUGUUUUUUGUAUGCCUCAUGGUGCGCUCAAUGGGACUCUUAGCCCAUUAUAUUGUCACUUCCUGAAUAAAUAAAUAUAUAGUUGGAAUACAAGUCCUCAACAAUUGGCAGAAUUUUCACUUUGACCUUCUGAUCUGUGAAAUAUAUACUAUAAUUGUAGGAAGGACCAAGUGGAAAUCUUUGAAGCUCUUCCUAUCAAAAGGCAAAGCCAAAGCAAUACUACAUUCCUAGAGAAAUGUGAGGCUAUUACCAUCAUCAAAGACUUGUAAGAAACAGGAACGACUAUUCUUAGCACAUCCCUGUUUCACUUCCUUCUUUGGCCAGUGCAAAAUGAGUCUUGGACAGUGAGAGUGUUAAUUAGGCAGUGAUUCCAUUUGCAGGUGUUCUAGGUAGAGUCUCUUUUCGCAAGUAAAUCAGCACAGCCCCCAGCAUCUGAAAUUAUAGCCAUUGAUCUAACUGGUUCAUUUUUCUUUCCAUAAAUAAGAAAAGAACAUCAGAAGUAGUUUACUUUUACCUCACAGGGAUACCAGAACAUACUCAUUUCUUAUGUCGAGGCUGUCGGCUCAACAGCUUUGUGCAAGAAUUCAGUCCACUUUGCUUUGGUCCACUUAUCAAGAG
rnacentral:lncRNA from 10 species